AACAUAUACACUAAGAGAUACACUAAGAGAUACACUAAUCUCUUAGUGUAUAUGUUAGUGUAUCUCUUAGUGUAUCUCUUAGUGUAUAUGUU
rnacentral:pre_miRNA from 1 species